UCCUAUCGCCCAUCUUCCCCCAUGCCCGCGACCUCCAGCCGGCGCCCACCUUCCCCCGCCCCCGCCUCCUUCCGGGCGCGACGCCGGCCCCGCCUCCUCCGGCGCGAAGCCGCCGCCACCAACUCCUCUUGGCGCGUCGCCGCCCCUGGGUCCCGAAGCGCCCCCCUGCCGCAGCCGGCCCCGACUCCUCCGGCGCGAGGUCGCCGCCCCCAUCUCCUCCGGCGCGAGGCCGCCGCUCCCACCUCCUCCUGGUGCACUGCCGCCCCCUUGUCCCGACAGGCCUCCGGCCUCCGCCGCAACCACCACGCCGGCCUCCCUCCCCCUGGAUCCACCGCGGCGGCGGCCUCCCUGCCCCUGGAUCCACCGCGACGGUGCAUCGCUCCCCCUGGUUCCACAGCGGCGGCGGCGGAUAGCCUCCCCCUGGAUCCACCAGCCAUCAACCUCCCCCCGAGCACCUCCCUUCCUGUGCUGCAACCGGGCCACCGCUACUGCGCCACCCGCCCCAAACACCGUAGCUCCUCCUUGAUGAAUACAUCACGGAUGGCCUCCUGCUCAACGACGGCGCCAACCUAACUCUGACCAUGGCGACAGUCGACAGACGCGAAUGUUGCAGGCCUGUCUUCUUUGACCAGAAGACGCUCUAGUUUAGCAGCAUCAACAACGCAAAAAAGAGAGGAAGAAAAUGGAUGUCAGGCUCAUCACUGGAGUCUUUGCAAUCCUUUCAUGCUAGGUGUUUGUGUAAAGCAUGCUCAUGCAUGCUUGUGGAAGUUGAAAAGGAAACAAAUGUUCCAGUAUCACUAUCAGCAUAUAUUUUCCAAAUGUCAACCUAGAGAAAACGCGAUGGCACGACUAGUCUAGAUUGUGAGGAGAAGUUCAUAUUCAGAAAGGAUAUAAGUUCACAUAAGCCAGUGACCGUGGACAAACAAAGACCCAAAAAUUGUUUUUUUGUCUCAAAAUGUUUACAAUAAAUUUUGUAUGUGAAUGUGUACAAUCAAAACAAUGCGUGUGUGAAUAUAGGUUGCUAGUCAUUAA